GAGUUGAUAGAGAGAAAGGAAUUUGUUUAUCCUACAGCAAUCACAUGCUUCAUAGAAGGAUUCAGUAUCCUUUUGAUAAAAGUUGGAAAUUUCAGCCCUUAAUUC
rfam:Ricinus communis cultivar Hale ctg_1100012360252, whole genome shotgun sequence.